rnacentral:tRNA from 1 species
GGGCACUUAGCUCAGUGGUAGAGCGCUUACUUGACGUGUAAGAUGUCGGGGGUUCAAGUCCCUCAGUGCCCA